UGAAGUAAGUAAGGGCGUACGGUGAAUGCCUUGGUGCCAACAGGCGAAGAAGGACGCGGCAAGCUGCGAAAAGCCUCGGGAAGCUGCAAGCAAGCGAUGAUCCGGGGAUAUCCGAAUGGGGUAACCUGAUCGAGGCAAUACUCGAUCGUUCAUACCUGAAUACAUAGGGUAUGAAACGCGAAACCCGCUGAAGUGAAACAUCUCAGUAAGCGGAGGAAAAGAAAGAGAAAUCGAUUCCGUAAGUAGUGGCGAGCGAAAGCGGAUGGAGCCCAAACCGAAGGUAUUCCUUCGGGGUUGUAGGACCACGUCAUAUUCGACCAUACUGGAUAGUAGAACAGCCUGGAAAGGCUGGCCGGAGAAGGUGAAAGCCCUGUAGACGAAAUCCAGAGUGGGAAUUAGUGGUAUCCUGAGUAAUACAUCACACGUGGAACGAUGUAUGAACCCGCGCGGACCACCGCGCAAGGCUAAAUACUAGUUGGCGACCGAUAGUGAACAAGUACCGCGAGGGAAAGGUGAAAAGAACCGCUGUGAGCGGAGUGAAAUAGAACCUGAAACCGUAUGUCUACAAAGUGUCAGAGCAGAGCAAUCUGCGAUGGCGUGCCUUUUGUUUAAUGAGUCUGCGAGUCAGUGUUUGUGGCAAGACUAAGGGCUUCCGGCCCGGAGUCGCAGCGAAAGCAAGUCCGAACAGGGCGCAAUAAGUCGCAGGUACUGGACCCGAAGCGGAGGUGACCUACCCUUGGCCAGGUUGAAGCAUGGGUAAAACCAUGUGGAGGACCGAACAGGUGAACGUUGAAAAGUUCUCUGAUGAGCUGAGGGUAGGAGUGAAAGGCUAAUCAAACCCCGUGAUAGCUGGUUCUCUUCGAAAUGCAUUUAGGUGCAGCGUCACGUGCUGAUGCGCGGGGGUAGAGCACUGACAAGGCUAGGGGGCACACCCGCUUACCAAACCUUAUCAAACUCCGAAUACCGUGCAAUGGAACGUGGCAGUGAGACAGUGGGGGAUAAGCUUCAUUGUCGAGAGGGAAACAACCCAGACCAGCAGCUAAGGUGCCUAAAUAACGCUCAGUGGAAAGGAUGUGGGAUUACACAGACAGUGAGGAUGUUGGCUUAGAAGCAGCCACCAUUUAAAAAAUGCGUAAUAGCUUACUCAUCGAGUGAUCCUGCGCCGAAAAUGAUUGGCGAUCAAGCGUUAUACCGAAGCUCUGGACUUUGCCGCAAGGCAGAGUGGUAGAAGAGCGUUGCAUGCGCGUCGAAGGGCGAUGGCGACUGACCCUGGAGCACAUGCAAGUGAGUAUGCAGACAUGAGUAACGUUAAGCCGGGUGAAAUCCCCGGCCGCCGUAAACCCGAGGUUUCCAGGGCAACGUGUUUCGUCCCUGGGUUAGCCGGGACCUAAGCCGAGGCCGAGAGGCGUAGGCGAUGGACAUCAGGUUAAUAAUCCUGAGCUCGCAACCCUUAAACUGGGGGGACGCAUGAGAAAAGAUGACUAGGUUAUUGAAUUCCGAGUUGAGUCCACGGACUCAGCGCAUCAUUGGAUCGAGUGCCAAGAAAAGCCCCAGCGUAUGCUAAGCGACCCGUACCGCAAACCGACACAGGUGGGUGGGUAGAAUAUACCAAGGCGUAAGAGUGAAACCUGGUUAAGGAACUCGGCAAAUUAGCCCCGUAACUUCGGAAGAAGGGGUGCCUGCAGCGAUGCAGGCCGCAGAGAAAUGGCCCAACCGACUGUUUAUCAAAAACACAGCACUCUGCAAAGACGCAAGUCGAAGUAUAGGGUGUGACACGUGACCAAUGCCGAAAGAUUAAGGCAAGGGGUUAGCCGCAAGGCGAAGCUCUAAACCCAAGUCCCGGUGAAUGUCGGCCGUAACUAUAACGGUCCUAAGGUAGCGAAAUUCCUUGUCGGGUAA
rnacentral:rRNA from 1 species